rnacentral:rRNA from 1 species
GAUGAACGCUGGCGGCGUGCCUAAUACAUGCAAGUCGAGCGAAUGGAUUAAGAGCUUGCUCUUAUGAAGUUAGCGGCGGACGGGUGAGUAACACGUGAGUAACCUGCCCAUAAGACUGGGAUAACUCCGGGAAACCGGGGCUAAUACCGGAUAACAUUUUGAACAGCAUGGUUCGAAAUUGAAAGGCGGCUUCGGCUGUCACUUAUGGAUGGACCCGCGUCGCAUUAGCUAGUUGGUGAGGUAACGGCUCACCAAGGAAACGAUGCGUAGCCGACCUGAGAGGGUGAUCGGCCACACUGGGACUGAGACACGGCCCAGACUCCUACGGGAGGCAGCAGUAGGGAAUCUUCCGCAAUGGACGAAAGUCUGACGGAGCAACGCCGCGUGAGUGAUGAAGGCUUUCGGGUCGUAAAACUCUGUUGUUAGGGAAGAACAAGUGCUAGUUGAAUAAGCUGGCACCUUGACGGUACCUAACCAGAAAGCCACGGCUAACUACGUGCCAGCCGCCGCAGUAA